AACGCUGGCGGCGUGCUUAACACAUGCAAGUCGAGCGAUGAAGUUCCUUCGGGAAAUGGAUUAGCGGCGGACGGGUGAGUAACACGUGGGUAACCUGCCUCAUAGAGGGGAAUAGCCUUUCGAAAGGAAGAUUAAUACCGCAUAAGAUUGUAAUGUCGCAUGACAUAGCAAUUAAAGGAGUAAUCCGCUAUGAGAUGGACCCGCGUCGCAUUAGCUAGUUGGUGAGGUAACGGCUCACCAAGGCGACGAUGCGUAGCCGACCUGAGAGGGUGAUCGGCCACAUUGGGACUGAGACACGGCCCAGACUCCUACGGGAGGCAGCAGUGGGGAAUAUUGCACAAUGGGGGGAACCCUGAUGCAGCCAACGCCGCGUGAGUGAUGAAGGUCUUCGGAUUGUAAAGCUCUGUCUUUAGGGACGAUAAUGACGGUACCUAAGGAGGAAGCCACGGCUAACUACGUGCCAGCAGCAGC
rnacentral:rRNA from 1 species